rnacentral:rRNA from 1 species
UACGGAAGGUCCGGGCGUUAUCCGGAUUUAUUGGGUUUAAAGGGAGCGUAGGCCGGUCUUUAAGCGUGCCGUGAAAUUUUGUGGCUCAACCAUGAGAGUGCGGCGCGAACUGGAGACCUUGAGUGCGCGGAAGGCAGGCGGAAUUCGUGGUGUAGCGGUGAAAUGCUUAGAUAUCACGAAGAACCCCGAUUGCGAAGGCAGCCUGCCAAGCCAUGACUGACGCUGAUGCACGAAAGCGUGGGGAUCGAACAGG